UCCUCCGUGGCGCAAUUGGCUAGCGCGUCUGACUGUUAAAAUGACUUAGGUCGUUUGGCUAUCAGGAGGUUGACAGUUCAAGCCUGUCCGGGGGAG